rfam:Populus trichocarpa scaffold_17_contig_358, whole genome shotgun sequence.
UCUAGAACUCGAGAUAUGGGCUGACACUGAACAGUGUCUAGGCUGCAGGACAGAUUCCGACUUUUCCGUUGUUGCUACCAUUUGAAUUCAAAAAUGACACUUUUAAAUCCUGGACUCCUUGUGAAAGUUUUAGGCCUAUGUCUUAGCUUUCCAUA